rnacentral:rRNA from 1 species
AGUCGAACGAUGAACCACUUCGGUGGGGAUUAGUGGCGAACGGGUGAGUAACACGUGGGCAAUCUGCCCUUCACUCUGGGACAAGCCCUGGAAACGGGGUCUAAUACCGGAUGACACUCCUACAGGCAUCUGUGGGGGUUGAAAGCUCCGGCGGUGAAGGAUGAGCCCGCGGCCUAUCAGCUUGUUGGUGAGGUAGUGGCUCACCAAGGCGACGACGGGUAGCCGGCCUGAGAGGGCGACCGGCCACACUGGGACUGAGACACGGCCCAGACUCCUACGGGAGGCAGCAGUGGGGAAUAUUGCACAAUGGGCGAAAGCCUGAUGCAGCGACGCCGCGUGAGGGAUGACGGCCUUCGGGUUGUAAACCUCUUUCAGCAGGGAAGAAGCGAAAGUGACGGUACCUGCAGAAGAAGCGCCGGCUAACUACGUGCCAGCAGCCGCGGUAAUACGUAGGGCGCAAGCGUUGUCCGGAAUUAUUGGGCGUAAAGAGCUCGUAGGCGGUCUGUCGCGUCGGAUGUGAAAGCCCGGGGCUUAACCCCGGGUCUGCAUUCGAUACGGGCAGACUAGAGUGUGGUAGGGGAGAUCGGAAUUCCUGGUGUA